rnacentral:tRNA from 4 species
GUGAGCGUAGCUCAAUCUGGUUAGAGCACAAGAUUGUGGAUCUUGGGGUUGCGGGUUCAAUUCCCGUCGCUCACCCCA